UCUCCGUUUAUUUUUCUUUAGACUUCAGGUACAAAACAGAUCUAAUGGACUAGUUGUCGAAUUAGAAUAAAUGCAAUUUUAAUUUGGAAGUGAUCUUAAGUAUUAAAGAAUAAGCAGUCAAAAAAAGGAGGAGGAGGAAGGAAGAAUCAUCAUCAUCAUCACCAAGUGAGUACCACCCCAUGUUCCACAAGGAAUAUGGGUCCUAGAAGUGCUAAUUGAUUUGCCCAGGUUGCCACACCUGAUGAUGAACAACUGGAACACAUAACUGAAGGGUUUCCUCUCUAGCAGCAUGUAUUUCUGAAGUUCUUCACUGUCUAAGCCAGGGUUUUUAUUGCUGCUCUGAAACACCAUGAUGAAAGCCGCUUGGGGAGAAAGGGUGUACUCUACUUACACUUCCACAUCGCUGUUCACCACUGAAGGAAGUCAGGACAGGAACUCAAACAGGGCAGGAUCCUGGAGGCAGGAGCUAAUGCAGAGGCCAUGGAGGAGUGCUGCUUACUGGCUUGCUCAGCCUGAUUUCUUAUAGAUCUCAGGACCACCAGGACAGGGAUGGCAUCACCACAAUAGGCUGGGUUCUCCUCUAUCAAUAGCUAAUUAAGAAAAUGUCCUUCACAUUUGCCUGCAGUCCAAUCUUAUGGAGGCAUUUUCUUAAUUGAGGUUCCCUCUUCUCAGAUAGCUUUAGCUUGUGUCAAGUUGACAUAAAACGAUCCAACACAUUCACCGAUGAUAACUUCUCAAAGGACAAACACUGUGGAUGUUUAACUUACUAUUUCAUCUUGUAGUCCCUUCCCACUGUGUUCCCUAGAGAUCAUCAGUGAAGAAGUAAAAUGAUUUGUCCAACAACAAUCAGCUUUUUAAUGCUAAAAACCAGUUAUCUAUAAAACAUACAAGCUGGAAUCCAUUCUUACAGUAACCUUCCUGAAGUUCUGUGAGAUGUCUACUGGCUUAAAAGCCUAUGUUUAGCCUACAGAAGGGCCUGGAUCCCACUGUGCUGAAGGUAAGAAGUAACUCACGUUUAUUAACAAGGGGAUUUUGUAGUGGGUAGCCAUUCCAGCUGGUCCAACCCCCACUGAGGCUUCGGUAACUGUCACGCCUACAAGGCGGGGCUGAGAGAGGACGCUGAAGACCUGAGAUCUGGAUGCAUGGGCUCUCUUGGUUCCUGGACCCUGGACGCUGGAGUUAGACUGAGCAGAGUUCUCCAGAGAACACCGCUGGACUGCGCCACACCUUUCCCAGACCCUAUAGCCUAUCCCUUCACUUGUAAGUUACCCCACAAAAAAAAACCCUCCCUUUUAACUACGUGGAGUAGUCUUAAUAAUUUCACCAAUAGGGUUUUAUUAGUUAAAUUUUCUAUGAUAAAUCCCUGUCAAAAGUACUUUAAAGAGAGCUGGUGCAGAGUUCAAGAUUACAAUCCAACAUGGCAAGAAGUCAUGACAGCGGGAGCUAGAGGCAGCUGCCCUCACUGUAUCCACGGUCAAGAAGCAGAGUCCUGAAUGCUUGUGUAUAGCUCACUUUCUCUUUUUCAUACAAUCUAGGGACCUAGACAAAGGAAUAAUUCACCCACAGUGGGUGAGUCUUCACACCUCUUUAGUCUAAUACAGAUAAUCUCCCACAGCACAUGCAGGGCCCAUCUCCAAGGUGAUUCUAGAUCUUGUCUAGUUGACAUCUAAGAUUCACCAUUCCAGGGGUGAUCCCUACAGCAUAUAACGUUGUCUUGACUUGAUAACAGUUUUCACACCGUUGUUCAAGAUCACAAAGGCAAGCAUGGUGUGUCUCUCAAUCAAAGAAACCCUGAACACCUGGUUCCUAGGCCACAAUUCUGUGGUGUCGACGCCAAACCACCCCCAGAUGGAAAGGCAACCAUGCCUUAAAAUAGGAUUGCCCUGACAGGAUGUCAGGUAUGUCUGCUAGAUGCUCAGAGUGAUGCAUGUUUGAGAAAGUACAGGGUGUAGCCAAGACACCAGUUAGCGCCCUCAAACAGAUAGAAACACACCAGGAAUGAGUUCAAAGAUUGUGCUGCUGAGACUGAGGUAAGGUUGUGAUAAGACACCAGGACAUUUUGACAACAUGUUCUAGUCCUUGAGAAAUUUCACAGUGCUGCAGGAUUUAUGGAGAUAUUAAGACAGCAGAAAGCCUGCUGAGGGCCUGGGCAGAGAUAACGAAGAUGUUCUGGUGGGGAAAAGCAUGGGGUAUUGACACAGCCCUGCUCCACUUCUCUGAGGAAGUGGUCCUGCUAUCAGAGUGUGAAGACCUCAGGUGGUUGUUGACCAAUUUGGAACCAUUCCCAAUGAGUGAGCUCAAUAUUGCAUUCAAGCUAGUCAUGACAACGGGGAGGGGAAUAGUCAAUCCCCAUGUGACUGAUAAUCAAGACUAUGAACUUGAUUGGAUUGAGAUAUGCCUAUUAUAUCAAUAAAGCUUACCUCUGGGUGUAUCAAUGAGAGGAUCCCAGAGAAGAUUAGAAAUAUGCGGGCUCUGACCUAAUCAGUAGUUUAAUUCACUGAUUAAUUCAGUAUCUGAAUAGAUUGCUUAGAGGUGCUAGAAUGGUGGAAGUUGGGACCUCCUUGGAGAAAGGGGCUUCCUAGAAGCAUGCCUUUGAAGGAUGUAUCUUGAUGCAAAGUCUCUUUGCUUUCUGGGUGCCAUGAGGUGAACAAUAUUCCUCUGCCAUGCCCUUCCCCCAUAACGUUUUUCCUUGAAUGAAGCCAUCUGACUAUGGACUGAUACUUUCAAAAUAUGAUAUCAAAACUAUCUUUCUUCCUUUUAAUAUUUUUCUUUUAGAUAUUUGUCACUGUAACAAAGCCUGACUAGGAGAACACAUUAUGUGUAUUAAAAAUCAGAACAGACUGAAUAAAAACAUAGAAGCACAUUUGGUAUCUAUACUGGAUUUAUUCUAAAUAGCUGAAAACAUCGAUCUAUGUCACCACACUUAAAGCAGAGAUGAGAGUUCUCUUCAGCAGCCGAGAAAGGAACACUUUUUAGAAUACAAAAAAAAGGAAAAUAUUUAAUAUGUGACUAACCCGAAUCAAGAAUUGUUGCUUUGAGACUACAGUACAAAAUCUAAAGCAAACGGCAGACCAAGGAGAGUCACCAAAGAACAGGGCUUUCACACCGGGAUCACAUGGCCACUCCGGCGUCUUCACCUGCAGCCCUGCCUCCAGAGAUCAUCUUGCUGUGCCUACUCUCGUCAGUUUUUCUCAAUUUAGUGUGCCUAUAGGUCAUGUCUUUUGGACUCUGCCAACUCCACGCAGCAGCAUCUGUCUCUUAAGCUACUUGAAAAACCUCCAGCAUGAGCAGCUUUGUAGCAGACAUUCUUAACUUCCAAAGACAGCCUUCAGUAUUGAAAGGUCAGUGGAGAAGUGAGUGAAUGGGGAGACAAAUCCAAACACAAACUUGACGGAGAGUGAAAUGACCUGUAAAGUAAGUCUAGAGAGAAAUUACAAACGAUUCAGCACCAAUUAGAAGAUGCAUCAUCUCAUCCCAGGGCAGUGGCCUAGCCCUCGAGGUGCAGGAACAGGACAGGGUGAAGAAAACUGCCCUAAUACCAGGGCACCCAAAGAUGACCUCUCCCUAUUCAAGAAAAUUGGCUAGUCAGUAGAAAUGUUGAAGAAACACGAAUGACAUUGCCCUAUGAGAGAUUGGCAGGACCCCCGAAUCUCUUCAACCACAUGCUUAGUCUUACACACUUAACUCUCGCCCGCCAUUGUCCAAUCUUAUUUUGAGUUUCAUAGAUUUUUGCUGGGCACUCUUCUCCAGGUUGUUAUAUGUGUGCUGGCCAGGCCUCUACUAUGGCCUUCUUCUAUAGUCAAAUUAGGUUUGCAUACUGCUGUGGUUUGGAUCAGAAACGCCUCUCAGUGGCCCAUGUGUUCAAGGUUUAGGUCCCAUCUUAUGCAUAAUUACAGGUGGAGUAAACCUUAAGAAGUAGGGCCUCAGCCUUAACACAUGGGGAGGUGCUUAGUCUUACUGCAACUUGAUAGGCCAUGUUUUGUUGACACUCGUGGGGGAGUUGCCCUUUCCUAAACAGAAAUGGAGAGGGUUUUGGGGCGGGGGGACUGUAAGGAGAGGACGGAGACAAACUGCAGCCAGGAUAUAAAAUAAACAGAUAGAUAGAUAGAUAGAUAGAUAGAUAGAUAGAUAGAUAGAUAGAUAGAUAGACAGACAGACAGACAGACAGGAAGAUGCAGGGCCUUCCGGAAGGCUGUCAGGUCAUUUAGAGCCAUCUCUUUUAAUGGGAUAGCAGACUUUAGUCCUUUCCUCUUCCUGGGCAUUGCAAGUUUCACUACAGCACCCAUUCCUGCCACAAGGUACUUUCCCACAACAUGUCAGCAGAUCCCAGAUGAAACCACUGAAGCUGUGACCAGUGUAGAUAUUCCUCUAAGCUGAGCAUCUCAGGUGUUUGUUGAGUGGCAUAAACCUGGCUGCCACACACAUUCACUUCCUCUGUCAUUGCAGUUACAAUAUGGGAGGGGGUUGGCAUCCCAAGACACUAGGUAUGGCAUAGGCAGUUUGUCACUGGUGAUUAGCUGAUCAGAUAAUUGCUAAUCAGUUUUCUUUCAGAUGUGGGCAAGCCACAUUAAGUUUUGUUAUAAUAAUCAACAAUUUUGUUUUCUGUAAUAGAUGAACUUUUUUUCAUUUUGAUUAUUUCUAUGCUCUUGUCUUUAGUUUUUUUAUUUCUUUUCAGUGUAAGCCUGAUUUGUUUUUCAAAUAAGCUUAAUAAUUCUAAACUGUAAUUAAAUGCAUUUUAUUUACUCUCCAACACUUAUGAGUUCAGUUUAUUCAAUGUCUGGAUUUCCCAAUCACUAUUUAGGCCCAUAAAAUGCCAACAGGGACCUCUCUUUUCAUCUGCUCACAGGACCUCCAGUCCUGGGACGGCAAUGUGCUAACUUAGAGGGAAAGGGAGAGGGACUCCUAAGUGUGAGCAGGUCACCUGCCUUUUCUGAGCCUGAGCGUCCUGAAUGGAAACAGUAGGAUAUGUGUCCCACUGUUGUGUCCCACUGCGGUGUCACUCACUCACUGCUGUGCCUUACACUGCUGUGCAUCAACUGCUGAGCAUCACACUCACUGCUGUGGAAUGAGUGUGUAAGGAACGAGAAAGGAAAGAGAGGGAGGGAAGUACAUUAUCUGCACCAAGACAAUGUGCAGUCAAGAUGCUCCCAGCCUUGGGCCUGGGGGGCAUUCGGAGGAUCCAGGAAAGUGAACCAUGGCAGGCUGGCUUUAAAUACUGGCUGGACCCAGAGUACAUGAGGCCAGCUGACAGAAGAACUGUAUCACGUGAAUUCCCCCCUCAUCCUUACCUAUUGCUCCAACUCCAAACAGCCUAUAAACAGUAGCUGGCUAGUAUAAGGAGAAGCAGGCCCAGGAAAAAACAGUUGGAACAAUCCCGGGUCCAAAGAAAAGAGAAAGAUUAGCUGCAGUUUUGAGUGCAGUUGGGGAGGAAGGGAUGUCCUCUUGCUACGUGGGGCUGUGUAUUUAGACUGUGGGGGCAUUUUGUUAUUUAAAGUGCCCAGAACACUUUACAUUACGUAAAACAUAUCAGAAAGUCAUGGAAAAACCCAUACCUAGGAGCAGAGAAAGAACUGAAUUAAUUUUAAUUUCAUUUUUAUUUAUUUCUAACAGAGAGUGACACUAUGUAGCCCAGGCUGGCCUCCAACUCACUAUGUAGCCCAGGCUGUAUUCUAUGUCACUAUGUAGCCCAUCUGGCCUCAAGCUAUUCAUUCUCCUGCUUCAUUUUCCCAAAUGCUGAGAUUACUGAAAUGUGCUACCACACUGAGCAAAACCUGAAUAUGUUUAAUUGGAAAGGAGACAAAAUUUAGUUAUUAUAUCUACAAGUUGUAUUCAACACAUUUGAGAAAUAUACAUCCAUAUAUUAUAUAGAUUCAUGUGUGUAACCGGACACUACACAAAAGUAUCCUAAAUAAUUGAAGUGUCUACAAAGACCACAAAUAAAACAAGAUUAGAAUUUCCAAGUACUGCCUACCAUAUGCGGAUUUUCCUUCUCCACUUUGAGACACAGACGGUGCAGAAUGUGAAAGGAUCAGGUGGAGAACUUCACUGCAAAGGCCCCACUUACAGCCCAAGUCUGGCAAAGGCAUCUUCACUAGAAUCAUAAAAGACCUGUGGACUCUGUUUCCUGGUCAGAGGACAGAGAGGAUCUGCUGUGGAUAUCACUCUGUAUAAAUAAAACCCUGAUUGGCCAGUAGCCAAACAGGAGGUAUAGGCAGGACUAACAGAGAGGAGAGAAGAAAAGGACAGGAAGACAGGAGGAGGAGACACCAGCUGCCGUUCAGGGAGCAUCAUGUAGAGACAACAGGUAAAGCCACAGAACACGUGGCAACAUACAGAUUAACAGAAAUGGGCUUAGUAUAAGAGUAAGAGCUAGACAAUGGUAGGCCUGAGCUAAUGGCCAAGCAGUUUAAAUAAUAUAAGAGUCGGUGUGUUUAUUUUAUAAAUGGGCUCUGGGACUGGCGGGGCUUGGCAGGAGCUGAAGAGAAAUUCUCCAGCUAUAAGGAUCAAUGCUCAGCUAACCUUUGACUGGACAGGAGUGUUUCCAGAGUCUGUGGGGGAGUCAUGAAGUCGCCUACAGAGCAGAAGUGGAUCAUGUAGGAGCCAGAGAAACAGUGAAUAGGUGAGGAUGUGCCAUUAUAUCACAUGUGUAAAUGGGCUCUAUGGACUCGUGCUGUGGCUGACACUGAACCCUUCAUCUCCUAUGGGGUGAGAGAAGAGCCACCACAGACUAUUUAGAAUAGAAAAGAUGCCAGAAUCAGCAUCAUCAUCGAAGAGUGGUCCAAUUGGGGAAAAUCUAAGAAACCCAUGAAAGCUUCCUCAGCUAGGUAUAUCACCUGCAGCCACCCACCAGAUCAGAACCAGGUACAUCACCUGGAACCACCCAACAGAUCAGAGGAAUAACUGUGUACUUGUUGAAGGAUGACUGUUUCCUUAUCCUGCCUCUUGCUGAAACAGCAGCUCUCUGGUGAGAAAAGAGGCUGGGAGGCAGAGAAAGAGCUAAGUGAGGUACCAUGUCUCCCACCCAGAUGUAAUGUUCCACCACUGCAAGGGAGGAAGAUGGAGUAUCAUCUCAAGUUAGGGCUUUGAUUAGCUAAGGAUAAGAACAAUUUACUGAAUUGAGAAUAAGCUUGUGACUUCAAGGCAUCUUAAGCUACCAAUUGUGUACCACUGAGCAGAGAGGUUAUAAAACCUUAGUAGAGUUGCCCAGGAACAGGGCUUGAGAACAUUCACCAAAAUAUUUUAAAGGAGGUGGAAAACAAGUCAACUUAUAAAGGUCAAUGACCAUAUACUCCAAUACCUAGAAGGGUCACUGAGUACACGGUAAAGAUUUACUGAACAAGCAGAGUACAUUAGACACAGGUGUACACAUAUGCUGGUACACCUUCAACUCUGGAAUCCAUAAUAUGACGUUUCUAAAUAGAAGUAUUUCCAAAUAGUACAUUGUUAUAAACUUAUUAAUGGCAGUAGUAUCCAAUUAUUGACAAUCUUCAUAAGAAAUUCCAUAGCUUUCAUCUACCAUACAUUCAUUAACUAAUUUAAGUGCAAAUGUUGACUAAACACCAACCGUGUCCCAGAUGCCACUGGGCGGGGAAGACACAGCACGCAGUGACAGACUAGCUGGCAGCCGCCUCUGGAGAAGCUAAUGUUUUGACUGGUAGAGAAGAAAGGUGACCACAUACUUUCACAAGUCAGGUUUGUCCCAGGCCUGCUGAAUUCUGGAGUCUGAAUUCUGGCCAGUGUAGAGGACAGCUUGGUCUCAGAAGUAACAGUGCCAGCGAAGGGUGGGAGAGGCUGUUAGAAUGGCCUCGUGCUCUAAGCAGCUUUGUGCAGAAAUGGUUCAAGGGAUGGAAAACACAUGGUGCUGGAGAAUCAAGGAUGGGAAACAGUGGCAAGGGCAGGCUAACAUGGGUGGGCACUGGAGGCUGUGGGGCCAGCGUGUCUCUAGGUCUUACAUCGUCUUUCCUCUGCAGUCAUUCUUUGACUUACAAAGUUUUGACUGGCAGCUGGUCCUUGCAAGCAGAGGGUAGCUCCAGUCUCAUGAAUUGUCUGUCACCUGUUCCUCGCAGGGCUGUGAGUUUUCUGUCCCCAUAGAGGAGAGGCAGUACCAUAGUUGAACAAAUAAGAUAUCAGCCCUAUCUGGGUUUCUUAGCAGAAAACUCUAGCUAAGUUAUUCAAUGUCUGCCAACUUCAGCUUCCUCAAGAGCAAGAGUGCACCCUGCCGCAAGGCUGCUGGGUACAUUAAAUGAAGGAAUGCAUGCGAAGAACAGCGCCCAGCGCCUUGUGUGCAGGAAGCUUGGGGAAAGGUUAGUUAUUUGUCAUUACAGCUCCCUUCUCUUCGGUUCCGCUCAGCUACCCAGCAGAUUGGGCACUUCAUUCUACUCACUACAAGUGCCACAGUGUUUAAAAUAUUUCUGCUUGGGGAGGUCGUUUCAUUUUGGUAUGUGGCAUACCUCCCCCUUUUCCUUCUCUCAAUCAGUGCUAUUGUUAGCAUCUUACCAGCCACGGGGUGAUCACAGCUGUGGAGGGCUGAAGUCUCAGGGGUCACAGCCUUCCAGAAAACAGAAAUCUCUUGUGUUGAAAUUACUACAAAGAGAAACUGCGACCAAGGAAAGAAAGAGAGACCCAAGUGGGCCCAGACUCAAGAUCCAGUAACAAGAAAUUCAUAUUGCUUUAAUCUUUUUGUUUAGAAACGCAGCAGGUAAGUCUUGCUUAUUUUUGCUAGAGAUUCCAAUUUAUCUGGGUGAAAUAGAUUCCAAAUGAUUAUUGAUAUUGGGAUCUUUAUGCAAAUCCAUUCCCAGUUGAGUGGUGAAUACUAAUCUCCACUAUAAUGAAAAGAAAAUCCUCUAAAUUCCAAUUCUCUCACUUCAUACAACUGACACUAUCACUUGAGACUGGUAAAGAAGGAAAAAACUCCGUUAUUUCCAUUUGUUAAUUUCACACAUUAAAUAAUAAGUGUGAGAGCUCACAAUUUUGCUGCCUCUAUCAACUUUACUACUUUCAGGGCAGUAUGGUAUAUUUUAAAAAGUAAAAAGUUUAUGUGUGAUUGACUCACAAAAGGAAUAAACUUAGGGAGUGAGGGGUUUACAAAGCGACUCAGGGAAAUGCUAGCCCAGAGGCCACUGAGAUCCCUUGAAUUACAGAGGCCCUGGGAAGCUCAGGAAAAGGAGAAUGCUGAGAUUUUGUCAGUUUCUGCAUUUCAAUGAUGCCCCUGCCAACUUACUUCCUGAAGUAACCUUUCCAGAUGCAUGACAGUCUUAGCUGGCCAUGAUGGCAUAGAACUGUACCCAGCAUCCAGGAAACAGAGGUAAGAUGAUUGCAAGUUUGAGAUUAUGAAGUGAGACUCCAUAUCUAAAGAAAAAAAGAGGCUGAGGAGGUGUGGCUCGGCCAUUGAGAGUGUGUACUACCUUUAAAGAGGACCAGAGUUUAGGUCCUGCCCACGCCAGGAGACUCUCAACUGCCUGUAAUUCCAAUUCCAGGGGAUCCAAUGCCCUCUUCUGGUCUCUGCCAGGACCUGCAUACCUGUGCAAAUAAAGACACACACACACACACACACACACACACACACACACACACACACACACACACACUUUAAAAUAAAAUAAUCUUUAAAAAGAAAGAAAAAGUCAUUUCUGGUGAGGUAUGGACAGUAUUUUAAUGCUGCUGUGUCUCCUGAACACUCUUAAAGUGUGCUGAUGCUGUUCUGAGGAGGAUGUCAGGAAUGGAUGAAGUAGGCAGAGGCCACAGCUGCAAACAUGGCCAUGAGAAAGCUCAGUCAGUGACAGAUACCUAGAAAGACGGGACUAGAGAUGAUGAUGAUCCUGGGGGUGUCUGGAAUUCCACACUGGAAAACCAAACCUUUUUUCUUUAGAACAGGAGUUAGAGCACCAAAUCUGUACACAAGGACCUGGCUUCACUGAAGACUCAAAGGCUCCCAAGAAGUAGCUACAGUGAAUCAGUCAGAAGACCACUGGGCACGCCUGUGGUGGCUGGGGGAGACUGUCUCCCACAGGCGUGUGUGUCUGGACACUUGGUCUCUGGUUGGGGGUGCUGUUUGGGGAGGCUUAGGAAAUCCGUCACUGGGCAAAGGUUUUGAGAGUUGAAAGCCUCAGGCCACUCUCUGCUCACCUCUUCUGCAUCUUGUUGGUUAUUUAAAAUGUAAGCUCUUGUCUUGCUCCUCCAACUGCCAUACUUUCCCACCACAAGGCUCUUACCUCUCUGGAACCACAAACCAAAUAAAUCCUUCCUUCCAGGA